UGGUGCUGCAGCUCCUCCAGGGCAAUGAUUACCUGAUUUAUCUCCAGCCAAAUCCUCCCUGAUGUAAAUUGUAGAAGCUCUCUUGGCAGGAAGCCCCAUCCCCUUAUAUAAGCUGAAAUAUUGCCCUUUGAGAUUUAUCCAUUACUGCCAGACUGCUGAGCUGUCUGUCUUCAGCCAGGGCCCCAGAAGAGGAGAGGAGAGGAGAGGAGAGGAGAGGAUAGCUGUGUUCAUACUGGUUUUGUCUGUACAAGGUCUCCUGGCUGUCUCCAGGAAAGCAGACGGGGAAGGAGGCCAGCAGACUGUGCCUGCAUCGGAUAUGCAACUAUUCAGUGGAUUCUCGCAAAUGAUGCUUCUGUUCUCAGAAAUCAGGAUUACUCAGCAUACGCUUCACAAACAGGAGGGGAUAAAUCCAUGGCAUAAUUUAUUCACAAUGAAUAAUUCAACCAGCAGAAGUGACUACUCCAAAG
rnacentral:lncRNA from 12 species